rnacentral:rRNA from 1 species
AUUGAACGCUAGCGGCAUGCUUAACACAUGCAAGUCGAACGGUAACAGGUCCUUCGGGACGCUGACGAGUGGCGGACGGGUGAGUAACGCGUAGGAAUCUACCUCGUAGUGGGGGGUAACCCGGGGAAACUCGGGCUAAUACCGCAUAAUCUCUACGGAGCAAAGCAGGGGACCUUCGGGCCUUGUGCUAUGAGAUGAGCCUGCGUCGGAUUAGCUAGUUGGUAGGGUAAAGGCCUACCAAGGCAAUGAUCCGUAGCUGGUCUGAGAGGACGAUCAGCCACACUGGGACUGAGACACGGCCCAGACUCCUACGGGAGGCAGCAGUGGGGAAUAUUGGACAAUGGGCGCAAGCCUGAUCCAGCAAUGCCGCGUGUGUGAAGAAGGCCUUCGGGUUGUAAAGCACUUUUAGUGGGGAAGAAAGAAUUAAGGCUAAUAUCCUUAGUAGUUGACGUUACCCACAGAAAAAGCACUGGCUAACUCUGUGCCAGCAGCCGCCGUAAUAC